rnacentral:rRNA from 1 species
AUUGAACGCUAGCGGGAUGCUUUACACAUGCAAGUCGAACGGCAGCGCGGACUUCGGUCUGGCGGCGAGUGGCGAACGGGUGAGUAAUGUAUCGGAACGUGCCCAGUAGCGGGGGAUAACUACGAGAAAGCGUAGCUAAUACCGCAUACGCCCUACGGGGGAAAGCAGGGGAUCGUAAGACUUUGCACUAUUGCAGCGGCCGAUAUCGGAUUAGCUAGUUGGUGAGGUAACGGCUCACCAAGGCGACGAUCCGUAGCUGGUUUGAGAGGACGACCAGCCACACUGGGACUGAGACACGGCCCAGACUCCUACGGGAGGCAGCAGUGGGGAAUUUUGGACAAUGGGGGCAACCCUGAUCCAGCCAUCCCGCGUGUGCGAUGAAGGCCUUCGGGUUGUAAAGCACUUUUAGCAGGAAAGAAACGUCGCAGGCUAAUACCCCGGGGAACUGACGGUACCUGCAGAAGAAGCACCGGCUAACUACGUG